rnacentral:misc_RNA from 1 species
UCUAUCCGGUCUACCAUAACCGGCAUCGGGGGGCCUCCUCACAGAGACCCCCGUCUGCACCCUUGUCUUUGCGCACUCAUGUUUCCUCGGCAGGCUUGCCUGCCGUUAGGACAACCUAAACUCUUUAAUUUUCAAUCAGCGUCUGAAAACUAUAAUAUUUA